rnacentral:lncRNA from 1 species
CUUCCAAAGGCCCAUCUGCCUGGAAACCUUGCUGUCUUGCUAUUUAGCUCAGAGCCCUGGAAGCGUUGCUUUUGAUGGCUACCAUUACUGCUUAACUUAGGAACGCUCUGCCUAGUGAGGGGUCUGUGCUAAGCAGAGUGUUCCUAAAUGUAACUGAGCUCAUCAAAGGGAUGCCUGUUCCCAUGUUCAGGUAUCAGUAGACAUCGUGCCUCGAUACUUGGUUUGUGCCUAGUCAAUGCACCGAAUGAUAACUCAUUAGCAACAGGCAGGGGACAAGUUUCAGAUGGUACUCUUCACAGUAAGACAUUAACUGCCAAAAAAUGAACAAGAUAAUUUCGGGUCAAAAGGAAAUGUGCUCUGUUUGCCUUUAGACAUACCAGAAGGUAGUUUUGCUAAGUCACAACAAUCAAGAUUGGAAGAAGAGGUUGCUCCGGGAUCCCCUUUCUCAAUAACAGAAGAAAGAGAGUUGCCAGAAGGAAUUUCCACUUCAUCCCUAGAAGUUGUGCCAGAGAACUUGAACGGUUCUGCCAUUCUCCCAACAUUUGAAAACUUCACUAAAAAACGGAAAAGAAAAUAUGAGCUUAGGUACAGAAAGCGUCCGCUUAAUUCAGAAAAUGCAAAGAAAGCACCGGAUUGCCUAAUAAAACUUUUAAACCAGAUGCAACUGUUCAGACUCAAUAAACUAGAGCGCUUUCAAAAUUUGGUUCUUCAAGAGUUGAGCAGUCUUAAGCAGGAUAUUCAGGCCCUGGAACACCUUGAGAAGGAGGUUCUGGAAUUCUGGGGGAAACAGUCUGCUGAUCUGCAGUCUUUCUGUGAUCUGCAAGUGCUGAGGUACUUUGAAAGGUGUUCUUUCUAGAAGAAUCUUGGUUGAAGUAUGAGGUUCAAUUCAACUCAGACUUCAUAAGAAAGCCAAAGCCUGGUUUUAUGAUUGCAGCCCUCAGCCUGAGCUGCCUGAAGACGAAGAGAAAGAGCAAGGUUAUUGUUGGCUCAGGCCUUGUUAGCCAGACUUCUGUGCUCUGUACGCAAUUUCCUCCCCUCCAAACAUCAUCCCUGGGAACUGCUGAGUUCGGAUAGAAUAUAUGUUGGUAGUUUGCAAUUGGGUUAUUAUCCAUUUGUUCAUAAAAAUUAACCUUUUGUAUUAAAAUUUGGUCAGAUAGUAUUAAUAGAAAGUUCAGGAUGUUAAACAACUUGGAGUGGUGUUGCUUUUUUU